GGUCGAGGACCAGAGCAGUAUCGAUACCCUAUCCAAAUUCCAAACCUGAUUUUUUCACUUCAAAUAUUAUCCAACCCGAUCUAACAAAAAAAAAAUAAAAAAAUCAUUCCGGUAAAUUCAGGUAGGUCUUCACGGGUGAAAUUGUCAUCGCCAAAAUAGAGCUGUUACAACUUGAGGGAAAUAUUGUUUUAUUAUGAAGGGAAAGACGUCGUUUUUGGCGGUCAUCACACUCAACAUUAGGAGGCGGUAAACCGCCAUUGAAGUAGAUAGAGUUUCAUUGACCAGGCAUCAGGUGCUCUCUCUCUCUCGUAGAUUUUUUUUUCAACAAGUUAAUUCCAUGUGUUUAGAUUUGCGUUAUAGGAGUUCUUUUGAACAAGUUCCAUGUGUUUAGAUUUGCAGGGCAGUUUUUCUUGUUUCCUGGGUGUUGAGGAAGCAUGUUGUGUUGUGUUUUUUGACCAUUGCAUAAUAUGCUUGUCAUGUAACAGUUGAUACUCUAGGAAGCUCGAAGGUUAAGGAGUUCGAGAGACCCAUGAGACUAGCUGCAUUGUCUACUUACUGUAAUAUGCUUGAUAUAGACAGUUUUAGUGAACUUUCUUUUAGCAUAACAUAAUUUUCCUGUUUUGAAUUAACCAAGUUUCCUUUAAUUUCACUUUUUACUAAGAACUUGAUGCAACCAUGAAAUGACUGCCUUUCUAGGAAGCAUAGCCUCUUGCUUUGCACUUCCUGAGGGUUAGUUGCUCUGCCUAUAGAUUAUGCUCUGGGUGCUACCAUAUGUUCUUCUGUAUGAUAAUUUCUGUAGUAUUGCAUGUCAAACAAUAGAAAAAUUUGAUCAGAGACAAUCGUUCGUUUUAUUUUGGCUGUUGUAUUAGGAAGAAAACUGUUUGAGCUUGGACAGUAGUAUUUCAAGAAGCUUGGUUAGUACUCGUUCCUGGAUUUGUACACAAAUGCCAAAUUUUUAAGUGUGUCCGCAGCUUUUAUUGAAUCUAUCUGCUAUGAAUAGAGAUGGCAUGUACCUUGUAAAUUUGGGGAAUAUUUGAGAUCCGAAAAAGAUUCAUUUUAUGGCAAUUAUAGAGAUGCAAGAAGCUUUGUCA